rnacentral:rRNA from 1 species
UACGUAGGGUGCGAGCGUUGUCCGGAAUUAUUGGGCGUAAAGGGCUCGUAGGCGGUUUGUCGCGUCGGGAGUGAAAACCAGGUGCUUAACACCUGGCUUGCUUUCGAUACGGGCAGACUAGAGGUAUUCAGGGGAGAACGGAAUUCCUGGUGUAGCGGUGAAAUGACGCAGAUAUCAGGAGGAACACCGGUGGCGAAGGCGGUUCUCUGGGAAUGACCUGACGCUGAGGAGCGAAAGUGUGGGAGCGAACAGG